GUGCUCACUUCGGCAGCACAUAUAUUAAAAUUGGAACGAUACAGAGAAGAUUAGCAUGGCCCCUGUGCAAGGAUGACACGCAAAUUCGUGAAGUGUUCCAUAUUUUU
rnacentral:snRNA from 1 species